AUUGAACGCUGGCGGCAGGCCUAACACAUGCAAGUCGAGCGGAUGAAGGGAGCUUUCUCCUGGAUUCAGCGGCGGACGGGCGAGUAAUGCCUAGGAAUCUGCCCUGCCGUUGGGGAUAACGUCCGGAAACGGGCGCUAAUACCGCAUCCGUUCUGAGGGAGAAAGGGGGGGAUCUUCGGUCCACACGCUAUCAGAUGUGCCUAGGUCGGAUUAGCUAGUUGGUGGGGUAAAGGCUUACCAAGGCGACGAUCCGUAACUGGUCUGAGAGGAUGAUCAGUCACACUGGAACUGAGACACGGUCCAGACUCCUACGGGAGGCAGCAGUGGGGAAUAUUGGACAAUGGGCGAAAGCCUGAUCCAGCCAUGCCGCGUGUGUGAAGAAGGUCUUCGGAUUGUAAAGCACUUUAAGUUGGGAGGAAGGGCAGUAAGUUUAUACCUUGCUGUUUUGACGUUACCAACAGAAUAAGCACCGGCUAACUUCGUG
rnacentral:rRNA from 1 species